rnacentral:rRNA from 1 species
GACGAACGCUGGCGGCGUGCUUAACACAUGCAAGUCGAACGGAAAGGCCCUGCUUUUGUGGGGUGCUCGAGUGGCGAACGGGUGAGUAACACGUGAGUAACCUGCCCUUGACUUUGGGAUAACUUCAGGAAACUGGGGCUAAUACCGGAUAGGAGCUCCUGCUGCAUGGUGGGGGUUGGAAAGUUUCGGCGGUUGGGGAUGGACUCGCGGCUUAUCAGCUUGUUGGUGGGGUAGUGGCUUACCAAGGCUUUGACGGGUAGCCGGCCUGAGAGGGUGACCGGCCACAUUGGGAGUGGGAUACGGCCCAGACUCCUGCGGGAGGCAGCAGUGGGGAAUAGUGCACAAUGGGCGGAAGCCUGCUGCAGCAACGCCGCGUGCGGGAUGACGGCCUUCGGGUUGUAAACCGCUUUCGCCUGUGACGAAGCGUGAGUGACGGUAAUGGGGAAAGAAACACCGGCUAACUACGU